GCUGGGCAUUGUGGUGCAUGCCUGUAGUCCCAGCUACUUGAGGGGGCUGAGUCGGGAGGAUUGCUUGAGCCCAGGAGGUUGAGGCUGCAGUGAGCCAUGAUCACACCACUGCACCCCAACCUGGGCGACAGGGCAAGACCUUGUCUCCA
ensembl:misc_RNA Metazoa_SRP Metazoan signal recognition particle RNA